GAAAGCUUUAGAGUUCUUUAUUUAUUCUGUAACUAAACCGUACUGUAUUUCAGUGUUAGCUCCCAAUAAUUUUUUCUUUGAUUCACUGAGUUUUUGGAGUAGACAAUCUUAUAAUCUGGGCUUGCAGAAUUUUGUCUCCAAGUUUCCUUCCCUUGCAAAAAUGAGGCAGACUGAAGAUUGGUCAAAGCCUGCAAAGCUCUGCCUAGAGCCAGAGGAGCAGACUAAAUGAAUUUAUGGAUCCCUAGAAGCCACUGAAAAUUUAGGAAGACACAGAUAAUAUAAAGUACUGGAGAGUGGAGGCUACAUGUUUCUUGCAUCUGCAUGCCCUUCACACAUACUUGGUCAUCCAGCUAAUCAUGUUGAUUCUUCUUCCUCCUUCACAUAUGCUGAAUUCAACAACUUCUUCCUACCCUCAACUUCACUCUUUUCACAGAAGCCACAUCACCAUCAUCUUUCAAGAGGAGCACAAAGAAAUGAACCAAUUUUGUUUUUCUUCUUUGGUCUUGCUCAGCUCCAAAAAAUUUUCUCUCUGAUGGCGAGAUUGCAUUAUAAAUGGAAAUUAGAUCAGGUCCUGCUCUUGUCUAAAACUCUCCAGUGGUUUGAACUAUCCGCAAAAUGCCAUUUCACCUCAACACACCUCUUGGGGCUUUGGCAUUGCUUUUGCCUCUGCCUGGCAUGAUCUCUCAGAUCAUCUUCUCCAGGGCAGCUCCCACUUACAGUAGAUAGGCUGCAUAGGCCCAUGAAAGAUCCAGCUUUGAUGAGUCCCUAGAGAUAUCUUUUCUUUGUUUCCCAAACCUCAUCUUUUGGGAAUAUACUUACCUUGUUUAAAGCACUUAACAUAGAGCUUGGUGUGAGUAAACAUGGUGGUGUGAGUUAACUGUUUAUUCAUCUUUUGCCUGACAAGACUAUAUGACUUUUUCAAAGGCAGCAGCUUUGAGUCAUUCAUAAAUAAAUCUUCACCAGUUCCUUAAAUUCUCAAUGUAUGUCAUGAAUAAUGGAUCCAUGGUAAUGUCUGGGCUCCUAACUGGAGCUUAAUAAAUGCUUAUUAGCUAAAUUCAUGUACUUUUUUAAAACUUUGUAGGAUCUAAUUUAUCUUAAUUGGACUUAAACAAAAAGAGUUUCUUCCUGUCAAAGCACCAAAUUUCAUGUCAAACAUCAAAACAGACACACUAGUUCAAAAACCAGAGGAGAGAAUGAUGAUGGCUACUUUCUGAACAGGAGUAAAGAAUGUUCAAUGUCCACCAGUUAAUUCUCCUCUGUUGUUUUUCUCAAGGGUGUAUACAUAAAGCUGCUUUUCUUGUAACAAUACAGAUUUUUGGCUAGGAACCAUUAACAAAUGUGUUAAGUCGUUGUGACAACUGAUUAAUUUUAGUUUAAGGUUAUGAAUACAAAACAACGAGUGUUGGUAUGUUACGUGCAUUUUAAUGAUGUCACAGCAAAAGUAAAGGAUGAGAAAGAUAAUUCAAUUUGCUUUCUCUAAAAGGUCAGUUCUCCUGAGAUAAAAAUUGUCCCUUAGGGUACCAAUGCCUUUCUCUCAGCUGCUUCUCUCUUCUGCUGCUUCUCUGGCUCCUCCUGUUCCUUGGGGAUGUGAGCAUUUAUACUGAAAGGCAAUCAGACUGCGUUGUUUGGAAUGAAGGUGUGUUGGUAGAGGGGACCAGAGGACACCCAUGCUUUUAAAAAUGGAUGGAAAAAUGUGGUUUUGCCCUUGAUUUCACCAUUAUUCUAGCAUACUUUAAAAUGUGAAUUUAAGAAAAGAAAUAGAAAUUGAUAAAGUUAUUUAAAUAGCACAUUUGCCAAUGUUUGUAUAUACACCUGGAUGUGGAAGUUUCUGUGAGGAAGAUUGUGAAUCAGUUGGUCAAAGUUUAUCACAAGUGUUUAUAACUGAUAUCUUGUAUUUUGGCAGGAUUGAAUCUUUCAUAACAGCAGGACCCAGCACAGGGUCUUCACAAACUUGGAGCUCAGUAUGGAUUUAUGGAAUCAAUGGAUUAAUAUCUGACUCUAGAUAGGUCGGGAAACAUUCAGUGCAUGGCUUUUAUCACCCAUCCAGUUGGGCUCAGGUUCUUACAACUGUCCAAAUUUUUCACAAAGCCUCAUAAGGAUGACUUCAGAGAGGCCCUGGCUCUGCAAAACAGCUGACAGUCACAGGUCUAAAUUAGGAGCAGCCGAUAAGAAUCCCAAAGACGUUCUGAGUACAUACGAACACAAGGGAACUCUGGGCACUGAAGAUUUUUAUCCUCCCUCAGAAAUAAAUCAUCACAUCUCCUGCUGGCCAGACAUCAAGCCCACCUAAGUUAUUAACGAACCCCUGUGUGACCUCUGUACUCUUACCUCCAUGGUUUCACCCAGCCAGGAGUGUCUGUUCCAGAUAUAUCUUUCACUUCUUCAAAGAUCCAGUUCACCUAAAUACUCACCUUGCUGACAUCAACAAUUUUGAAAGCCUCAGUUUGAAUGUGUGUGCACAACUGGGAACAUGCAUAUCCAGAAAAGUUUCUUUUCUCCUUUUCCUUUUUAUGCUAACACCAAAAAAAUCAUUGAUCUGGCUAUGAACAAACAAGUAUCAGUAAUAUAUCCAUGAUGGCAUCUUCAGUGAGAUCAAAGAUUUCAAGAUCAUCAAGGACUUAGCGUCUGGAUUAUAGGAUAUUUCAUUGAGGUUUCAUUCAAUAUUCAGUCAUCCCAGUAAAGACCUCAAAGUUUGGUGUAUGUGUACACGUGUGAGUGGAAGUAUGCGUGUAUGUCAGUGAACGUGUGUGCAUGUGUGAAAGAGAGAGACAGAGAGAAACAGAGUAUAUAGUGCAUUGUUCUCAUUUUGUUACAGGAAAAUUGUGAAAAAUUAAGCCAUAAGUUGGAUCUGUGGACAGUGAUAUUAAAAUAAUGCAAAAGCAGUUUUAACAUUGAUUCUGGACAUAUAAACAAAGAACGUCACUUGUGAUGGACUCUAUUGUCAUCUUAUAGCAAGAUCCCAGCCUCUUUACCUGUUUAGGUCUUGAGCCCCUCAAAUUCUUAUUUUUCUAAAAUCCUCCCAGCCUCUUGGAAAUAUGACCUCAUAUGCAUCUUCAUAUUAAUAUGUUGGGCACUUCAUAUAUCACUUCUCCCAGAGGGGUUCACACUAAAGAAAAGCCUUAUAAGGAUCAUAUCCAAUCUAAAAGAUAAAUCAUAAUAGGCAAUAAUGUGUAAAAGGCACUACCUGAAAACAUCUUUUUUGGCACCCAUCACACCUCCAUAGCCUUUUGCUUGAUGCUAUUCCUUUUUCUGCACAGGAGACUGGCCCUAUUUUGAAAGUUACUUGGACACUUUGCAUCAUUGUACAGUGGGGAUGAUAAAGUUUCCUUUUUCCCCAAAGAGGAGCUAGGUGGUGCUAAGGUGUUAGAGGUGACAUUGUAUCUAGUCGGUGAUCAUUGGUCCAGUUAGGUUGCUGCUGAGAUGACCCUGGCCUCUGUUGGCCUGUCUCUCCCUUCUGCUAAAUGAUUCUCUCUACAUAACACACUUUUAAGUCAUGAAAAGUUUUUCUUAGCUACUAUGUCAUAGUAAGCUGACCAUGGCUGUUUCUCUCUAGUCUUCUUUUACUUACAUAUGGUUUGAGAAUCUACUAUGCGCCAGGUUUCUUCAUAGGGUACAGAUUACAUGAUCUUCUUCCUGCAACCAUGAUGUCUCUGCUCUCAUCAUUUGUUUCUCUUGGUGGCCAAGAUCCUUCCUCCAUUUUGGAGUAUUGCUCCCUAAAAUUCCGCCUUUACUCAGUUUCUUCUAUUUUCCCAUUAAUAUGUAGAACUUUUCAAAUAUGAACUCUAGUAGCCCCCCAAUUCAUCAAUAAAUAUUGCUUCAAGGAAUGGGAGUGGUAAGGAUCAAAGAUGACACUAGGUUAUUUUUUUUAAAUCUUAUAACAUUUAGGGGGAUCCCUGGGUGGCGCAGCGGUUUGGCGCCUGCCUUUGGCCCAGGGCGUGAUCCUGGA